AUGAAAUUCACAUAUUUAAAUUAAUUAAAUAAUUGUGAUAAUAAGAUUGUAAUACCCAAUUUUAGGCCCGGGCCCACAUAAAUAGAUAUAAAAAAAUAAAACAAUAAAAUUGUCCAAAAAUUACACUGCCCAAAUACCCUCGGCCUAAUACACUAGGCCCUAACCCUAAGCCCAUUACACCAAGAAAACAAACAGCAGAAACCCCAACAGUUAGCAGCAAGUCAGCAGCCGAACACUCCAGGCGCCACCAUCGCCCCCACGUUGCAGCAACUGCCCAUCACUCCCACGUCGCUUCACCCACGAUCAGCAGCUUCGCAUAACGCCAUUUCUACCUGCAAUAAAUCACAAACAGUGGGAGUGACUGAAGGGGAGCAAAUUGUAAAAAACAUUUGGCUAUAAAAAGCCAAUGGAUUUCUCUAAUUAGGGUUAGACAAAGUUUUGUACUAAACAAAUAAAAGAAAAUACAAGAGAAAAAAGAUCAGAAAAAAAGCAAAUUUCGAAGACAAAAACAAAGCGAAAAGGGAAGAGAAGAGGUUCUUACCAGUGUUGGCGCGCCGUCGAUGCCCUCGCUAUGCUUCGACGGAAUCAAAGUUGAAGGAGGGAUUUAGGCGUGAAAAGCAGAGGAGAAGAUGAAUGUGGCUGCUGAAGUUGCAGAUGGAAUAGGGAUUUUAAUUAGGAUUUGAAAUGGGUUUUAAGCAUUGAUGGGUUAUUUACGUUUUUAAUCCUUUCAUGUUUUCCAUCAUUUCAAAAACAUUGUUUUUUGUUUUCAAAUUUUUCCAUGACAUAUUAAAUCUGUUUUAUUUUAAUCCAA
rnacentral:lncRNA from 1 species